rnacentral:piRNA from 1 species
CUGCCCGAGAGAAAUUCUACAGCCC